rnacentral:rRNA from 1 species
CUACCUUGGGCUUUCACGGGUAACGGAGGAUUAGGGUUCGAUUCCGGAGAGGGAGCCUGAGAAACGGCUACCACUUCUACGGAAGGCAGCAGGCGCGUAAAUUACCCAAUCCUGAUUCAGGGAGGUAGUGACAAGAAAUAAUGGGUCGGGGCUCAGCCCCGGGACUGCAAUGAGACGAAUUUAGACCCCUUAUCGAGGAUCCAUUGGAGGGCAAGUCUGGUGCCAGCAGCCGCGGUAAUUCCAGCUCCAAUAGCGUAUAUUAAAGUUGUUGCAGUUAAAAAGCUCGUAGUUGGAUUUCUGGUAGAGGGUUAAGGCCCACUUGUGUGGUGCCGCAAUCCUUUGCCAUCCUUCUGUUAACCUUCGCGUCAUUUAACCGUCGCUUUGGGGCUCAGAUAUUUUACCUUGAGAAAAUUAGAGUGUUUCAGGCAGGCUAGUGCCCGGAUACAUUAGCAUGGAAUAAUGGAAUAGGACUUUAGCCUCUUCUGUUGGUCUGAGGGGUUGAAGUAAUGAUUAAUAGGGAUAGUUGGGGGCAUUAGUACUUAACUGUCAGAGGUGAAAUUCUCGGAUUUGUUAAAGACUAACCUAUGCGAAAGCAUUUGCCAAGGAUGUUUUCAUUAAUCAA